rnacentral:rRNA from 1 species
GAUGAACGCUGGCGGCGUGCCUAAUACAUGCAAGUCGAGCGAACAGACGAGGAGCUUGCUCCUCUGACGUUAGCGGCGGACGGGUGAGUAACACGUGGAUAACCUACCUAUAAGACUGGGAUAACUUCGGGAAGCCGGAGCUAAUACCGGAUAAUAUAUUGAACCGCAUGGUUCAAUAGUGAAAGACGGGUUUGCUGUCACUUAUAGAUGGAUCCGCGCCGCAUUAGCUAGUUGGUCAGGUAACGGCUUACCAAGGCAACGAUGCGUAGCCGACCUGAGAGGGUGAUCGGCCACACUGGAACUGAGACACGGUCCAGACUCCUACGGGAGGCAGCAGUAGGGAAUCUUCCGCAAUGGGCGAAAGCCUGACGGAGCAACGCCGCGUGAGUGAUGAAGGUCUUCGGAUCGUAAAACUCUGUUAUUAGGGAAGAACAAAUGUGUAAGUAACUAUGCACGUCUUGACGGUACCUAAUCAGAAAGCCACGGCUAACUACGUG